AGGCACCAAUGGUUACAUUCAGAGCAACAAAUUCUUUGUAAAGCCGAUGACGAAUAGGGUAACCCAUUCCACCAAGCCUUUCGAGGCAGAUCAAGGCACCGCAGGUCUCACCACCAGGAAACCUAACAAGGAAAUCCUCGAGCAUGAUCGCAAGCGUCAGAUUGAGCUCAAGCUCGUGAUUUUGGAAGAUAAACUCGCCGAACAAGGUUACACUGAAUCUGAGAUCGCUGAUAAGCUUGUCGAAGCUAGGGAGGCUGUCGAAGAUGCUCAACAAGAGAAAGACGAAAAAGAAGGAGAAGUCAUACCAGUCCCUACUCGCCAGCAAAAGUAAACUCUUGUUUAUUUAUUGAUUAAUUCAUGUUUUGGAGGUUUUGGUUUUCGGUUACGCAGGCUCACCAAGUGGAUCAUUAGUUUUUUUUCUUAAAUUACUUUGAUUAAUAAUGGAUGAUUUAUGUUCUUCUAUUAUUUAUUGAUUCAUUCAUGUUUUGGUGGUUAGGGUUUCGGAUACACAGACCCACCAAAGUGCCCCAAGGAAGGAGUAGCAGAUGGAGACCUUUAGGGCUGCUCUCGGUAUUGGAGCUUCUGAAUCUGGGCUUCCUCCUCUGCCAAAUCCUCGAAACAACAUCGAUAAGCGGUCACAUAAUUGUGAUUAGGAUUUAAGGUAUAUUCAUUAGUGUAACAACAAUAAUAAUAGUAAGAUUUAAUAUUCUAAUUAUAGUAUUAGAUAUUGUAGCACUAUAUCGUAAAAUAAAAAAUUAAACGCAUUGCACUGUACCCAUUAUUCAUUUGAAUCCACUCUCGCUCAACUUUCAUUCUCAUCACUCAAGGACACAAUUUCUUCCAUGAAAAAUGGUUCAUUAAGCAUCAAAGAAACCUUUUACAAACAAUUUCCUAUUCUUGCACGGUUUCAUAAAAAUUUUAGAACCAUAAAUGUUCAAAGUACAUUCUUAUCACCCAAAGAUGCAGUUCUUCUCAAUCGAACACGAAUAUAUGAAUUAUCAACUGAUCUAAAAGUGCUAAAAAUUCUUAUUUAAAAGAAAAUUUUUGAGGGAUAUAUUUUGUAAUUUAAAUAAAAAUUUUAUAUAGUUUUUUAAAUUUAUUGUUUUUGACAAAUAAUAAAAUUUGAAAAUAGUUAUUUUUGUUAUUCUUAUAUUUUUAAGGGCUAUUUAAAUUUGAUUUUAAAAUGGGAUAAACUUUAACAUGCAAAUAGAUCAAAAGUUUAAAAGUAUUUAAUUGGUGCUGCUAAGAGGAUUGGUGCCACUUUUUAUUAUCCGAUCUAAAAAGGAUAAUUACUUCAUCAAAUCCCUGAUUGUUUUAUAUAAUAUUUAUAUUUCAAUCCACCCAAAAAAAAUUUAUUGGUUUUUAAACUAACCAAUAAUUGGAGAUGGUAACGUCCAUGACAAUAGCGUCACCGACGUUAACUGUUCAAAGCAAAUUAUUUAUGUACAUAACUUUUAAAGUAGGCCAUUUUAUAAAUAAUCAAGAGUUUUAAGUCAUUUUUAUAAAAAGCUGAAAAAAAUUGAACUAAAUUAAAGGAAUGAGUUUCAAGAACUAAUCCAAACAAAUCAUCAAAUCCAAAUCAAAUUUAGGGGUUUCUUUUGGGGGUGGGGAGCAAAAGGAAAUGAAGGAGGCUUACGUUUUAAGCUUGAUCUCUACGCUGUUGAAUUUCAAGGAAUUUGCGAAGUUUUCUUCUUCAAUCUUUUGCAGUCUCGUCUUCCUCUAGAAAACUGGAAAUUGAAAUGCUUCGUAUUUAUUAUGGAGAACGUAAAAUGUGGAGCAGUGCAGAAAUCGAAACCCCUUCCAACGACGGAUGAACACCUCUAUCUUGCAUGAUCAUACCAGGCUCAAAAGUUGAAAACCUGGUGAAUGAUGCUAGGAAAUAAGCUCAAAUCCCUGAACAAUGAUCAAUGAAUAAGUGUACUCUCAUCUAUCGAACCCCAUCUCGGACUGUUCUCGCAAACAAGAAUUGCUGAAUUCUGAUCAUACCAAAGCUGAAAAGUUAAAACCCUGUAAAUGAUGCUGAGAAUUAGGGCCAACACAUUUUAUUAUAGCUACAACAUAUCAAAAGAUGGCACCAUCACUCAUUGAUGAACCCAUAUAUUGUUGUACUUUAGGAGCCGUAUCCUAAUCGUUUUCAAUGAAUUCAAGUUUUCGGAUUUGUAAAUACUUUCUUUGUCUCUAGGUAAUAUAUUUUAUCGCUACAUCUAAUAUUAAUGAGUAAAUUUGUUAUAAUUUUACUAAACUGAAGCAAUUCGAAACACCAUUAAACCAAAUAUAUAUAUCACCAAAAUAAAACAAAACUCUAAGAAAAAAAACGAAUUUUGAUUAUCAAGCAAAUGUUACUGUUAGAGUUGUAUGAUUUAAAUUUCUAUUAAAGAAAUCCAUGUGUUUUAUUUUUAUUUUCUUAUUGCUUUGUGAUCUUUCUAUAUUACAAUUAUUGACGUUCAGAUUUAUCAAUUACGAAACAAUGUAAGUUUUUAUGAGCUAGAUGAUCAUCUAUUAGCUUAUUAAACACGAUGUCAAUGGAAAUUGUUUGAACUUUAAUAAUAACACCCAAUUUAGAUUCGAGCAUAAGUGUCAUAUAUGAAUAUUUAAUUUUAGUUUCUAAAUGAUCAUACACUAGAAAAGCAAUAAGCUUCAAAACUUUGCUUAGGUAAGCCUUUAUAUUGUUCUCAAAUAAGUCCUUGUCGUAUUUUUUUUUUUUGCUUCAUUCAAACUAUUUUGUUUAAAAGCAACAGAACAAUAAUUCAGUUAAACAAUACAAUUGUCACAAAAGCUAUUAUAAUAUGAAAAUUAGGCAUUCCAAUCACCAAUUUAACAUUCUCCACACCUUGAACAUAACCCUACAAUUAAUACCUAUUGUACAAGCCCAAUAAUGCCCGGGCCCAUAUAAAACAAAGCACAGCCCAAAUUUAACCCAAUUAAACCAGCCCAACAUAGUAAAGCUAAGCAGAAAACCCUAGCCUAGGUAGCACCAGCAGUAAGUAGCGCUGCAAGCCCUGCCUCCAGCAGCCUCUCCAAGCGCCGUAGGACUCGGAGAUUAGCCCCUCCACGCGCGCCAUUCGCACAACCACCUGCAAAUAAAAACGGACUAAGAGUCCACAAUAGGAGGAUUGUAAACUAAUGUAUUUUGGUAGGCUAUAAAAGCCUAGAUCUAUAACAAGGAGAGGGGACGGAUAGACAGGGAAAUAGACAAAAAAAAAUUGAAAGAAAAAGAGAUUACUGUAAAUUGAGGGAGAAACAGUGAAAUAAAAUCAGAAGAGGUGAAUUUCAUCUUAGUUUUUUUUUUAUUUCUUUGUUUGUUUUAUUUAUUUUCAGAUUUUUCGUAUAUUAAAUAAAAAAUAAAAGGGAGUAUCACCUUCAAGGAUACGCCGUUAAAACUCGAGCCUGCUUCACCUGAAUCGGGGUUGGGGGCCGGGAUUUGAAUCGGCCGGUCGGUUGAGAACGGCGGCGGCGCGGAGAACUGGUUGAAAACCCUAGCAGAGCUUUUGCUCUCUUCUUUUGUUUUUUUUUCCUUUAUGCUGUAAAUGAAAAUUUUUAAGAAAAAUUCUAUUUUAAAUGGUAUUAGCAAAACGGCGCCGUUUAGGUGGCCAUACCCGCGCGGUGACCCGACCCGGAUGGGAGGAUCCGCGCGUUGGGUUUUGGAGGGUAAAUUGCGCAUUGAGUCCCUCUGGUUUUUGGCGCGUUGCAAUUGAACUUGUUUUGUUUCUUUUUAAAUUGAGCCGCAUUUUUUAUCUGUCUUUCAAUUUAGCCCACUGCUGCGCAGCGUUUCUGGAGGGAGGGAAUAAUUUCCCUUUUAGUCCCCCAUAGUUGCGCGCGUGUUCAAGUGGGCCCCUUCUCUUAAAAUUUUAUUCAAAAUUUGCCCCAUUUUUGUUUUUUAAGUACCAUUUAGCCCAUUUUUGCUAUUUUUCUUAUUUUUUAUUUUUAAAUAUUCAUCAUUAUAUCGUUAUUUAUUAUUUAUUAUGGUUAAUAUCAUUAUCUCUAUAUUUAUACACGCAUGGUUUUCACAUAAUAUAUAUAUGCAUUUUUUUUGUAGUACAUACGCAUAUUUUUAUAUCAAAUAUAUACAUUUUUUUAUAUGUAUUUUUAAACUUUUUUGAAUACUUGCAUAUCUUUUGUACAUACGUUUUUAUAUAUAUAUAUAUUUUUUUAUUUUUUUUAAAAACUUUUAUAUACUUUAUAUUUUAUAUAUAUACUUAUACAUUUUUUUUUAUUUUGUAAAUAUAUACACAUGUACAUGCUUUUAUGCUUAUUUUAUUUUCACGGUUUCCAGAUACAUACAUGCAUUUCUAUCAUAUUUUGAUUGAUAUAUCCUAUUUCGUCUUUUAUGUGUAUCUUCGUACAUAUGCGUUAAAUAUAUGUAUACACAUAUUUGUAAAUUUGAUUGUAUAAUGUACUUGUAUAUAUACUUGUGAAUAUUUAUUCAUAUUUGUCUUAAACUAGGGUAUUUGUUUCAUGUUAUGCCCUAACCCUUUUGGGCAUCUCUUUUAAAAUAUCUAUUUUGGUUUUCUCAAAGAAUUGAAAUCAUCCUAUUUUAUAAAUUCCAAAAUAUUUGGCAUUCAGAAUUCUCGGGAAAGAUUGUAUCCUAACUUACUGGAUCGCGGUUAUUUUUUCGAUGAAUUUAGAAAGCCAAGUAUUUGUUUUGCCAUGACUUCGCAAAUUUUAAAUAAAAAGCUUAUUCUCGGGAAUUCAAAAUGUUGGGUCCUAACUUACUGGUCAUGACAUUUUCUUCUCGAAAUAAGAAUUUUCAGAAACAAAAAGCAAUAUUCGGGUAUUUUGAGGUUUUAAAAACAUUGUGCCCUAACUUACUGGGUGUGGUGUUUUAUUUCUUUGAAAUACGAAUUGUCCAAUUAUUUUAAUCCAUUCAUGAAAUAAAAGUUUCCUUUUAAAGUCUUUUCAAAUUUUCGACACCAAGGCAUUUAAAAUCAAUUUGGUACCAAUUUCGGACGUUGCGAGGGUGCUAAUCCUUCCUCGUGCGUAACUGACUCCCAAACCUGUUUUCUCAAAUUUCGCGGACCAAAAUUGUUUUUAAGGUGGGCCGAUCACACCUUAAUAAAGGGUCGGUGGCGACUCCAGUUUUGUUUUUUUUAAAGUCGACAACUAAAAUUUUUGUUUUAAAAAAAAGGGUUUCGACACCUAUUGUUGCUAAUGUUUUUGCCAUUUCAUUGUCAUGCUGCUCUGCUUUUGAAAAUGCUAUACCUCACCCACACAGGCUAGUCUCCUUUCCAUAUUCGCAAAUGUAGUUUGUUGCGACCAAAUUCUCUUUAUCCUUUUAUUUGUCUCCAGAAAACUGAUUCGAGUAAACUAUCAAAUAAGCCUUUAGCCUAUCAUCUAUAUCCAAAUAUAAGCACUUAAGAGCUUGUUUCAAUACCAAUUGAAGGUUUGAGGGUUCAAUGUGGGUAAAAAUUAGAGGAUAGAAGGUUAUUUUGCACCCAUAUAAAUUUGUCACAAUAAUUACAUGCAAAUAGAAAAAUUCAGGCUUCGUUCAUCCAAAUCGAUAGAAAAAUAAACAUUAAUUUCAAAUCAUUUAUAAUUUAAAUUUGAAAAUAUAGUUAAUUAUAUUCCUUUCAUCCGACUAUAAAACUAAAUUAUUUAUAUUUAAUUUAUUAAGUUUAAAUUAAAUAAAAUAGAUUUUAAACAAAAUAUUUAAUUAGAAUUUUAUUGACAUUAUAAUAUUCAAAUAAAAUUUAAUUUUAAGUUAAACUAUAUAGAUAGUCAUCAAAUAAUUUAAAAUUUUUAUUUUAGGCAUCCAAAAUAAUAAUAAUAAGUUGUAAUUUGAGCAUUCAUGUUACAUAGUUCGAUUAUUUUGUUCAGUAAUGUUAAAAUUAUGAAUGACAAGCUAGCGUGGCAACUAAAAAAAUGGUAUAAUAAUAAAUCUAACCCUCAAUUUUUAUUUAUUAUACCGAUUUAGUCAUAAUUUAAAAAAUUAACACUUAAAAGUUAAAAAUAUUUUUAAUUUAAUUCUAAUUUUAAAAAAAUUUAAAGAAAUAUAAAUAUAUAUAAAUAUUUUCAAAAAAUAUAAUAAAUACAUAUUUGAUGGUGGGGAGGUCCGAUGGGGAUGGGGAUGGGGAUCGGGAUGGGGAGAGGGAGAGGGAUUAUUUUAUUUAAUAUAACAUUUAAAUGGUUUAAGAAAUAUAAACUAAUGGUUGAUUUACAUAAUUUACUGAAAAAAAUAUUUAAAUGGUUUAAAUAUGGCAACCCGCAAAUUUAUAAAUUUAAUUUAAUUUUAAAAUAUUAAAUUCAUAUUAGGGGCCAAUUUUGGAAAAUAUGCUGCAAAAUAAUAUUUAGUAUCAUAUGUUCAGAAUUUGAUGCAUCGAACAUAUUAUCAUAUGUGUAAUGUUAUGUCCGUUUAUUGUUUCCACGUCUUACUCACUUUAAUAGAUUAACAACUAUCAUUUGUGUUAUGAUUGAAAUUUCAAAAUUCGACAAGUAUAAUGACUUACAAUGACGCAAUUAGAGAAUAUGGACUAAAACUACAAAUGUACGCAUAGUAUAAGACUAGUAGUUGAAUUUAAUCAAAUGGAUUUAACUGCUACUGAUUGGGUCAAGACUAAUAUUUCGAAUUUUGAAAAGUACAGUGAAUAAAAUUAACCGAUUCAAAAAGGAUAGGACUAAAAGUGAUCAAAUAAAAGGAGAAGAGCUAAAUCCACAACUUGGGUAAAGUACAGGGACUAAUAGCGAAAUUUAACCUAUAUAUAUAUUAUAAAAGCUAGGGUUAACGGCAGACGAAAGCACAAUUCUCCGUGAGUUUCCUUUCUUUUUCGUUUGAAUUUCUCUGUUUCUGAUUUCCAUUGGUAAAACUAGCAAUUGCAGGUUGUUGAUUUUUUUCUUAAUCGUACAAUUGAAAAAAAAGAAAUCGCAGAAGAUUUGAGAUAGGGUUUUGAAAAGAAAUCCCUAAAUGUACAACGGAAUCGGACUGACCACCCCUAGGGGGUCAGGCACCAAUGGUUACAUUCAGAGCAACAAAUUCUUUGUAAAGCCGAAGACGAAUCGGGUAACCCAUUCCACCAAGCCUUUCGAGGCAUAUCAAGGCACCGCAGGUCUCACCACCAGGAAACCUGACAAGGAAAUCCUCGAGCAUGAUCGCAAGCGUCAGAUUGAGCUCAAGCUCGUGAUUUUGGAAGAUAAACUCGCCGAACAAGGUUACACUGAAUCUGAGAUCGCUGAUAAGCUUGUCGAAGCUAGGGAGGCUCUCGAAGAUG
rnacentral:lncRNA from 1 species